rnacentral:rRNA from 1 species
UGUGUAGGUGGCGCGCUAAGUCGGGUGUGAAAUUUCGGAGCUUAACUCCGAAACUGCAUUCGAUACUGGCGUGCUUGAGGACUGGAGAGGAGACUGGAAUUUACGGUGUAGCAGUGGAAUGCGUAGAUAUCGUAAGGAAGACCAGUGGCGAAGGCGGGUCUCUGGACAGUUCCUGACACUGAGACACGAAGGCCAGGGGGAGCAAACG